rnacentral:lncRNA from 1 species
GGUUAGAGGUGGGAUGGAAACAUGAGAAUGGCAAACCACCACUGUAAAACUAUUUUUUUUUUUUUUUUUUUUACUAUUUGUGGAUGCAUCUAUGGCUAGGCUUGUCCUAUUCCAAAGCAUCUGUUGCUAAAGAACUAGGUCCAUGACUGAAGCUGGUGGUCUAUCAAAUUGUCUAUUCCCUCCUUUUCCCCAGGGGCUAAGGUAAGAAUCUUUUCCUUCACAUACUACCUGAUUCUUUGUACCUAAGACCUGUUGACUACAAAGCUUGUGUUUUGCUGCCCAGCUGUAAUCAGUCCAAAGUGUCUCCCAAAUCAAACUUUUAAGUGGUUAUAAAUGUUUCACGAACUGGGAGUCACUGGACCAAAAAUAAUGCUUCCCUAAGAGUGCUAACUACAUUUCUUUUCCACUCUUGAAUCAGGCCAAUAUGCUGCUGAGAAGACUGAAAAAGAAUCCUGCACCUUGCUAAAUAUCAAAACACUUGGAGAUGUUUCUGAUGUGAUAACCCUCCCAAUUUCACUGUCCCUCUGCCAAUUGCUUAGAGAGGGGUGCACAAACUCUGGGCUUCAGGUGGUUGUGGAAAGCCACAAAGCCCAGAUACUCUGAAUAUACAAGCAAUGGCAAUUUGAAAAGCGCUGCAGGGCUAGAGACAGCUACAAGAAGUCAUAAGCAAGAUGCAGAAGCAGAGGAGAAAAGCAACAGACUAGGCACAGCAACCUUGGAACCCUCCUCCCNCAUUCAGCUUCAUGGAGAUUACUGUGACUUUUAAUUAUACAACAGUGCCUGUCCCAUUCUUCUAUGGGAUGAAGCAGGCAACUAUUACGUGCCGUUAAGAGUUUUGAUUCAACAACAGCUCAGCAGCUUUAGUUUGGGUCAGUUUAGCUGUGACCUGAAUGCAGGAAUGCAUAAGAAGCUUGGUAUGAUCCAUUUUUCAUAUAUUGUGAUUGUUGUUCUAUUGCCCUGUUGCCCUCAAACUUUAGGGGAUAGGCCAGGAUACAAAUCUUAUCCCAACUUUGAGCCAAACUAUC